rnacentral:lncRNA from 1 species
GCACUUUCCAACUCUCCGUGAAGCCCGCUGCCCUCACCCGUGGGGCUGCCUUCCCAACCGACAGUGAAGGUGACAGCUGAGAGGCCGAAUGCACAAAGGCACCGUGUUGCCCCUGCCUGUGUGCCCGCAUGGUUGUUCGGAGUGACCGCGGCCCCGGGGCACACUUCCCCAUGGACUGGAGAUGCCCGAGUCUCCCUGGGGCCUCAGCUGCCAGGCCCCGCCCCCUCUCUCAGGUCAGAGGAUAGCUCCUCCUUGCUCCUGCCAUAAUCUUUAUCUUAAAGUUAUCUGUCCACAGGGGACAGAUUUCAGUUGCUCAGCCUGGGACCCCUCCAUCUCCUGCUUCAUCCCUGGCCCAUGGGGCUGAUGCUCCAGAGUGACAAGAAAUAGGUAACAAACGAGACAAUUUUAGACAGCAAGUUGCAUCCUAAGGAGCUUAAAGCUCACUUUGUAAGAGGUCUGACAACCACGAUGGUGAUGACUGCCGUUUGGAGACUUGUCACAGCUGUUGUCCCACCAUUGUCGCUUGAAGCAGAUGGCAAAUGGAGGCAGCUUUCCCUGGAAUCCUCGCAAAGUCCAAAAGAAGGCCCCAGACAACAACCAUCUUUAAGAGCAGGACUUUGGCUCUGGCCCAUGGGUUGCAGAGCUUGGAGUGGUUCUGAACCAACUGCCCUUUGAAGUGGAGCGCAUCUCGUCGGAUGUAUACUGUGUGGGCAUUUUGGAUGGUUUCUAAGGCAUCUGCCUUCCAUCAAGAUCAAACACUCCUGUAGUACAGUGGGUUAGGCAUCCAGCAUUGUCACUGCAGUGGCUUGGAUCACUGCUGUGGCGCAGGUUCCACCCCUGUCCCGGGAACUUCUACUGGCUGAGGGUACGGCCGAAACAAAUCAAACAGUAGUAAAAUGAUUUAUCCCACUUGCAGCUUGGCCUUCAUUUUGUUUCUCAUAUUAUUUCCUCCUCCCCCCGCCCACCCACUUUUCUUGGCAUGGGUGCAUCUGUUUAGGAGGGAUGCGCCUGGCAGUGGGAGAACGUGUUUCUUUCUGCUUUCCGGCACUCGUGCCUGGAGUCACAAGAGAAGUCACAAGUCAUCGGGCCCAGAAUACACUGCAGGGCUGCCUGUUGCCUCUGUCGCUGUAACUGACCUGUUGUGGGUGAUGUCGUGCUUUGCAGUUGGGGUGUAGAUGUACGUCUGGGCACUGGAUGUUCAAGUUCCUGCUUCCAGGGACAUUCACAGGCUGGGAGCCAGAGGGACCCGGUUAGAAUCCUGUCCUGCCACCACCCAGCUGUGUGAGCUAGUUACUGGAUUUCCUUCUCUCUGGUGAGGAGACCUAUGGAGCAGUGAAUGGACAGAGACCUGAAAUACAAAGUGCCAGGUGGCCCUGGUGCUCAAGGACCCUGGCCUCCUCUAAACCAGUCAAAUGAUACUGCCUUUGAGCAAUGCCUCUGGGUGGUCAGCCUGCUGCUUAACUCUUCUUGGGAGGUUGGUCAUGAUUGGUCACCCUCCUGGGUCUCGAGUAUCUGCCACCAGAAGAGCACGUGGUAAGACAGGCGGGACCUGGGACCCUUUGCUGCUGUGGUUGCAGUGCUUGCACCUGGACAAGCAUCUCCUGGAGAAACAAAAUACAAAGAAACUCCAAGGGACUGAAAAUAACUGUGGACAUGCUCAGUCGGGGCAAAUUAUGGGCAUGAAGAUACAAAAACUCUAAAACCCCAACUGCCACUUCUGAAAAGCAGAGAGCAAAAACCGGGUGUCAGGAGCAAAAGCACAUGAUACCACCAAAGAAGGGCAGACCACCGAAGCCACAGCUCUGGCCCUACCCCUGGACCAACCCCUAUGAAAGUAACCAGGUCCCCCUGCACCCCUCCCCCCCAGCAAGCUAGCAAGGGAAACUUGCUUAAUUUCAGUACCGACCCCCCCGACCGCACCCCCACCCCCGGCUGCAACAGGGGCCUCAAUAAAGCCUUGCCUGAAU